rnacentral:rRNA from 1 species
AAACUUUCAACAACGGAUCUCUUGGUUCUGGCAUCGAUGAAGAACGCAGCGAAAUGCGAUAAGUAAUGUGAAUUGCAGAAUUCAGUGAAUCAUCGAAUCUUUGAACGCACCUUGCGCCCUCCGGUAUCCCGGYGGGCAUGCCUGUUCGAGCGUCAUU